AGGCUCGGAGCAAAUUGACCAUCUUGCCCUUUCACAAUUUAUAUAUGUUUGUGCAUGAAUGCUCCAAAUUGUGGGGCUAUUUGUGCUUAUGAACGUUCCAAAGGCAUGAAAAAGCAGUUACGGAAGUCGUUCGCCACAAAGAUUCGGUGAUAUUCGGCAUCUGUUUGGGUUAGCAUUUCACGCGGCAUCGAGAAGUAAAAGUUGUCCGCUCGUCAAAUGAUCGGAAGCCAAGUCGAUUUUGCCGGCAUGCGUUCCAUUAUUGCAUGCUGUGAAGAUAAGCUAACCAGCAUCAUCCUCGGGGCGCAACCUCACAUGUCAGUUUUUCAGGGCAAAUGAUGCAGUGCCCCGAUAAGCGGGGUCAAGGGCAAGAAGUUUGCACAAGAGACCAAACGAUGAGGCAGGAAAAUCCUUGAAGGUACCACGAUAACUUGGUUGAUAGUGUGGGGGUGGUCGAAAGCUAGUCUGAAGCUUCAUCUUCUUCCAGUAAUCCUCCGAGGGUGCACCACAAAGCUUGAAGAUCCUAUGCAGCUGCUCGACCUGAAUGCAGGAAAUACGUAAUAAGCAUGACUGCUCUACCCAAUCGAGAAAACAGGAGAUCAAGUUUAUUUUUUUAUUUUAGCUCAUGAAGGAAAAUCGCAAUUGAAAGUGGUGGGUUGAUGGCAGAACAAGAAUAUUCUACAAUGACUGCCGCCCUCUUACUCUCCAAA